AAUCCUCCCUUCUCCUCUCCCUCUUCUUCAUUCUUCAGAAUAUGGUUGGUUUUCUUAAUGAUUGCCUGAAAGUCAUGUACUUAAACAACCAGUGGAUAUUCUUAGAACAUGUUGGGAACAAGAUGCUGAUGUAAGCAAGGGCCAUAGGAAGAGUUAUUAAAAAGUAGACAGUCUACUUUGCCUGGUAACUUUAUCCCAAAUGGUCCAUGUGAUGACUAGGCUGCAAUAGCUGUCUUCUCUGGCCAAUUUGAGCAUAACUCUGUGUGCAUGUCUUGCCCCUACACAAAGAAACAUUCUCAUUUCCCCCUCUCCUUCUGCCUAUUUCUUGUCAAAUUCUGGGCUCUUCUUUGCUGUUUACAAGGACAAGUGCUUAGUGACUAGUGUGUGUGUGCAUGCACAUGUUUGUAUGUACAUGGGUGCAGUAACAUACGUGAAUAGUACAUAUGAGAAGGUCAGAGGACAACCUUGGGUGUUAGUCCUCAAAAGACAUCUACUUUGAUUUUUUUUUUUAAGACAGCAUUUCUCAUUGGCUUGUGACUUCACCAAGUGUGGUUAAACCAGCCUGGCCACCGAAGUUCCCAUGGUUUCCCCCAUCCCUGCUCCCAUCUCUCUUAGUCUGGGAUCAUAGGCUCAUUUCAUCAUGAUCAGCUCUUAAUGUGGGUUCUAGAUGCCAAACUCAUGUUCUUUCUCUUGAAGGCAUGCCCUUAACUGUGCUUUCUCCUAACCCCAGCUAAUUUUACAAAGAGGAAUGAAGUGCCUUAUGGGUAGAGAAAGCCCAAGAAAAGGGCUUAACUAAGUUUUUCUCACUAGGGAGCUAGCCUGAGGAACAUGCUGGACCUCAGGCCAGAAGGAAACCAGGGGAGUUGAAUGAGCUGUGAGGAGCAGUCCAGGCAGCAAGGUCUUACUGGCACAGUGCUACCCCAGUAAAGCCCACAGACAACCUGAACGGCUAUGGCGCCAAAGCUCUUGACUCGGACUGUUUAACUUGGAUCAAAGAAUUUGAAAUCUUAAAACAAAACAAAACCUUGGAAAGUUGCAAUCUGUCAAAUCCAUCUAUUAGGAAUAACUGGUUUUUUUGGACUAAAAAUAUAAUUUUUGUUUUAACUUUGAAAAUGGUUCAACUUGUGAAUUUUUCUUAAGAUGACAGAGAUAAAGCAGCUGUUGUAAAUAUAUACAUAUAUAUUUGUGUUUUUAUAUUUGUUAUUUUUAGUUUUAUGAAGCAAUGGCCCCACACAGGCUAUGCACUGUACAGACCUCUCUCCACUCUUCGUUUCUGUAAAUUUAGAUUUUCCUAUGGAGUGAUGCUGGGUAUAUUAAGGGUUAACCUUAGGAGCAGCUGCCAGCACAGAAUAGGUUCUGUCCUUUGUCUGCUUUUUGAUUGUUGUUUUAGUUUGGUAGGGUUUGUUUUUGUUUGUUUGUUUGUUUAUUUCUUGUUUGUUUUGAGAAGAAGAACAUGAGGUUGGGCGGGUAGGGGAUGGUCUGGGAGAAUUGGGGAAUGGAAAGAUUAUGAUCAAAAAACAUGAAAUAAAAUAUAUACAUUUUAAAAAAUUAGACAGGAAAUCCUUGUUUAGUUAUUUGGUACGAACCACACAUACAAUAUAACGUUCUGAAGCCCAUUAUUCCUACCCCUGAUACACUAUUUCAAUUAAAUUACUAAAUUAAAUCUUUUAAAGUUACUGAGUGAAGACAAAGGCUGACGCAUUUGUACAAUGGUAAAGUGUUUGCUGUGUAAAUAUAAGGAUCUUCCUUUGUAGCCUCCACACUCACAUCGAAAGCAGAGCAUGGUGGCACCCAUAGGUCAUCCCGUGCUGGGGAGGAAGGUGGGUUUCUCGGGUUCACUGGCUGGUCUAGCUGAAGAAAGAAUUGUUGAUGUUAACCUUUGCUACACACACACACACACACACACACACACACACACACACACACAUCCCAAAACGACAGUGUGUAUACGAGAUCAUAUUAAAUGUCCACACUUCCUUCUGCAGGCAACAGAAUCAGGGAGCAGAGUGGCAGGACCCACACAUAGAUGGUCAGCAGGUAGCAGGGAUGCUCUGUGUCUUGUCACCAUCACGGAGAUGCAAAUCAAAACCUAAGUGAGACUUCACCCGACACCUCCGACGCUGGCUAUUAUCAAAACAACAAAGCAAGUGUUGGAAUGGAUGUGUAGACAUUGGAAGCAUUGCAGGUCGUUGCUAGGGAUGCAGAAUGGUGUAUUUACUGUGGAAAACAGUAAGAGGCUUCCCUCAAAAAUUAAAAUUACAGUCACCAUAUGGCCCAGCACGGCUGGGUCAAACAGAUCUGCCUAGAUGAAUUAAAAUUAGGAUGCUAUAGAGAAAAACACUCUCUUGCUCAUUUCAGCACAGGUCACAAAAGGCAGAACAUGUGGACAACCUGGGUGUUCAGAUAAAGAAACAAAGCAAGAGCCACAGUGGACGCUAUUUUGUGUCUAACACUGGAAUUUUGCAACAUACGAUUCACAUGAACCCUGAGACGAUUACUUUACAUGGAACAGGCCAGUUGUAAGAGGAGAAACCUUGCUUGACUCCAUUCGGAUAUGUUAUUUAAACUCUGACUCAAGGGGCGGAGAGUAGAUGGAGUUUAGAGGAGGAUGGAGCAUUACCGUAAAGCAGGCGUGCUGUUGUAAUUCUGUAAGUCAAAUAGGCUCUAGAUCUAUGUCGUGUGGCAUCUCACACAUAGAUGAUAAAGCUACUGUCCCAUCAAAUAUUUAUGUAUUUAUAUUUUAUUUUAUUUUAUUUUAUUUUAUUUUAUUUUAUUUUAUUAAGACAGGCUUUCCUGUAGUUGAAGCUGGCCUCAGACCCACUGUGCAGGCAAAAAUGACCCGGAUCUUCUGACUCUCCGGCCACCACCUCCCAAAUGCUGGGCUUCAGUCACUCUCCACUGUGCUUGAUUUAUGAGGAAGGAAUCAGGCACAGGACCGCCUGCAUACCGGGCAAGCACAGUAGUGACUGAGCCACAACCCAAGGCCCUUCAAAUAAUUUAAGUGGAUAGAUCUCAUGGAGAGAAACCUUACUACAAUAAACAAAAUUAAAAACAAACAAACAAACAAACAAACAAACAAACAAACGUACGUUUCCUCGCUAUUGACACAGUGCUGCUUGUUGAAAGAAGCAGAGUGUCUGUGUGGUAUCAUGACUGAUUUAAUGAGUUUUUGCAGCUUUGCUUAGUUGCAGUUUUCUCUUAUCUAAAGGAAGGUGACAAUCUUUCUCUGAUGGAGUCUUUGUAAGAAUUCAGGACCAUCCUGUUUACACACCUUAAUGGCUGUACACCUGGCAGUUGCUGUUAUGAUUGGAAUGGAAGUUAAGAAGACCACGUUCAUCCACUGGGCAUUGAAUUUAUAAUUUGACGUCGUCAGAUCCAUAGCGCCAAAUUGAAAAGCACAUGUAAUUUUCUCUCAGUAAUGGGAUCAAUAGAUGUCUAAGGUGUAGCCUCUGUGGCACGGUGUGGGGCCUCUGUGCAGUCUUAUAAGUCUCUGCUGUGGGCUGAAGGGGAGGAGCUGAAGCCACUGUAGUGCCCACAUGGCUUUUCUAGGGUGUUUUAUGUACAAUCACAGUUUCAAAAAAAAAAAAAAAACUCAGCUGGGCAUGCGCACAGGCCUGUUUUUCUAGUCCUGGAUAAUCUGUGCCACAUAAAACAUUCCUGAGUAAAUUUUUUAAAGACUUGAUUGGUCCAGAAAUAUAAUUAUUUUCCACUUGUACAUCAUUUCAACAAGAAGGAUAGAUUCAAUCUAAAGUUAAAAAUAUAAAUUUAUACUCCACUCCUGGAUAUCUUAUUCUGUAUCAAUUAUUUGAAGAUUGGUCAAAAAAUUAUAUUGAUAGUAAUAUUGUUAAUUAAUGAAUACAAACUUAAAUCUUUGAUGAUGGUAGAGAGUAUUCAUUCAAUACUUUUUAAAAAGGAAAGAAAAAAAUGUCAGAAAUGCUAAGCUAGUUGGUAUCCAAUAGUUAGCAUUCUUUCCUAGGCUAUUAACAGUGGUAGAGCCCAGCACACUGCAUAUGCAAGCCUUUGGCUCCAUCUCAGCACCAAGUACACCCAGCUGAGGUGGGGCUAGCCUGUGGUCCUAGCAUCCAGAAGUGAAGGCAGGAACAUCAAAGAUAAAGGUCAGCUGGGCAGUUGCAGUUCAUGCCUUUAAACCCAUCACUGUGGAGGCAGAGGCAGGUAGAUCCCUGUGAAUCCAAGGCCAGCCUGGUCUACAGAUCAAGCUCCAGGACAGUCAAGGCUACACAGCAAACCCCUGUCUUGAAAAAUCAAAAAUAAAAAGGCAAAAACAAACAAACAAACAAAUAAUUAAAUAAACAAACAUUAAGGUCAUCUUCCGCUAUAGUUGGUUUGAGGCCAAUCUGUGCUACCUGAGACUUUAUCUAAAUACAUACAUUCAUACAUACAUACAUUCAUACAUACAUACAUACAUUCAAACAUACAUACAUACCUACAUUCAUACAUACAUACAUUCAUACAUACAUACAUUCAUACAUUCAUACAUACAUACAUUCAUACAUUCAUACAUACAUACAUACAUUCAUAAUACAUUCAUACAUACAUUUAUACAUAUAUACAUUCAUAUAUACAUACAUUCAUACAUACAUACAUUCAUACAUACAUACAUUCAUACAUUCAUACAUACAUACAUACAUUCAUACAUUCAUACAUACAUACAUACAUUCAUACAUUCAUAAUACAUUCAUACAUACAUUUAUACAUAUAUACAUUCAUAUAUACAUACAUUCAUACAUACAUACAUUCAUACAUACAUACAUUCAUACAUUCAUACAUACAUACAUACAUUCAUACAUUCAUACAUACAUACAUACAUUCAUACAUUCAUAAUACAUUCAUACAUACAUUUAUACAUAUAUACAUUCAUAUAUACAUACAUUCAUACAUACAUACAUUCAUACAUUCAUACAUACAUACAUUCAUACAUUCAUACAUUCAUACAUUCAUACAUACAUACAUACAUUCAUACAUUCAUACAUACAUUCAUACAUACAUACAAACAUUCAUACAUACAUACAUACAUACAUGCUAAUCUAAAAGCCUAAAUAUAAAAAAGUCACCACAUAAAAUGCACUACUGCCUCUAUCUUGGUUCAUCUCAGUCUAUAUUCAGUUUUUUUUAAGUGUAGUGUUGUCUUAUGACUGUCGUUACUAUUUACUGUGAUUAUUAUUUUUAAGCAUGUGUAUGUGUGUGUGUGCCAUAACACGUGUGGCAGUCAAUGAACUACGUGAACUAUGUCCCUCCCCCCCCUUCAUCUCUAUGUGGGUUCUGGAGAUCAAAUUUAGCCCAGCAGGCCUGGCUCAUUAAUCUUCAGAUUUAUUUUCUUAUCAUGCUCAUAUAUCUGGAACUAGAGUUACAGAUAUAUCAUCAAGAGGGUGCUAGGACUUGAACCUGGGUCCUCUGCAAGUUCCAGGAGUGCUCUUAACAGUUGAGCCAUCUUUCCUAACCCUCACCCCUCAUCUUUUUUUUAAAGUUUAAUGUGGGUGCUACUGAUCAACUCAGGUCAUCAUGCUAUUACAACUCACACUUUACCGACAGAGUGAUCUCCCCAGUCCUUUACAUUUAUUUUUAAAAGUCACUUAAGAAUCACACCUAUCGGAAAUAGAGUGUAAGGGCCAGAGGGGAUAGAGCAGCAGAAGAAUAUGGCCUCUAAAUCGACAUGAACAGAGCUCAUAUGAACUCCCAGAGACUGAAGCAGUACGCACAGGGUCUGUACGCAUCUUCACCAGGUCCUCUGUGUACAUAAGGUGCGUUCCAGGUUAGUGAGCUUUUUAUGGAAUUCCUAAAUGUGCGAACAGGUGGGCCUCUGAUUCUUAUGUCUUCUCUUGGGCUCUUUUAACUUCUGUUGGAUUGUCUGGUUCAAUUUCGAUGUGAUAGGUUUUAUCUUAUUAAAUUGUACUUCGUUAUAUAUUUUUAUUACCUCUUAGAAGCUUAAUAAGAGGCAGGAAGGGAGUGGAUUCAGCUGGGAGGGUAGGUGGAGAAGAACUUGGAGGAGUAGAUGGAGAGAAAACUAUAAUCAUGAUCUAUUACAUGAGAAAAGAAUCUAUUUUUAAUAAAAGGGAAAGAUUAUGCCUAUUGGCUCUGGAAGGCAGCGCAGUCAGUAGGGUCUUUGCUUAACAUGUACAAACCUCGGAUUCUCGCUCCAGACUCCUGUGGUACAGGCACACAAUCCCAGCACUUGGCAGGUAGACAAGGGAGGCUCAGGAGUUCAAUGAUCAUCCUUGAAACCAUAACUAAUUUGAAGCCAGCUUAGACUUCACGAGACCCUGUGUCAACCACCCAAGAACAAUGGCAGGAAGACCAUUGUUAGGAAACUGGGAAAUGGUGACGUAUUAGGAAACUACACUGGAGAAUGAGGGGGGCUUCUUCUAAAUAGCUAUGUUUCCAGAAUGGACAAGACAACCAAGGUGGAGGCUGAGGUUCCUGAAAGGAAAGCUAUGAAGGAGUUCUGUAUGGAGAGGAGGGGCUGUUGACAGAUUGUACUUGGUAGCUGAAGAACGUCCUAACUGACUGUUUCAAGCUUGCCAUCCAUCUAGUCUAGCCUUCUUGUGCAGUGUCUCCAGGUGUUUCUCAGAGAGGCACUAAACCUGGCCUCAUUGACGCAAGAAGGAAGCCCUCAGGUAGGUUUAAUGCCAAAGAUUAAGGCUGCAUUAAGAUUAAGUCUGAAAUGCACCGCCACCAAUUAGCCCUCUGGUCUUUCUGUAAGCCUUGAAUUUUUGAUGCGAUCAAUGACACCAGUGGAGCCAUCUUCUGUGCAGUGGUUAUUAAAGAUAUAAAAAUCAAUACAAAGAUGAUACUUGGAAAUCUAUAUCACAGGAUAAUGAAUCGCCAUGAGAGCCCACUAAGAAGAAUGUCAGCAAACCAAACAGAAGGUUCGUGCACAACAAGGCGUUUCAUGCCGGGAGAAUUGCAGCUAAAUUUUGUAUGAGACAGACAUCCACAGAGCAUGCUCACGGCACAGUUGCAGGACACGGUCUUAAUAAAAUUAAGACAGAAUUUUAGUAAGGCAAAAGGCUCCUGCAGCAUUCAAAGGGGGAGGGGCUGUGAGGAGAGGUAAGGCGGGGGCAGCAAAGGAGCCAGAAUUGAGAUGUAAGGCUGAGCCAAUAACACCAUGAUUUAACUUCAUGACAAAACAGCAUCAAACUUUCUCUGUCAGUAAUCCUCACUCAAUUUCUUUUAAAUGAAGUAUGAUUUGCCUGCACCUUGCGUCUGUGAGAACUGAUCGCUGGUGGAGCUGGGUCUCAGGGCUUCACAGAAUGGCCCAAAUUUAAUUCGAACUCGUGAUUGAUUUCGUUUCCUUCAAAGGAAGUUUUAUUUUUUCCUCCUCCACGGUUGAGCUAGGGCCUAACAUGGCACGUUCAUUUUAGUUCCCCCCUCCCCCUGCCCCGAGAUCCCAUGCAAGUGACAUGAGCACAUUCAUGUGCUUCAUCCUUAAGGGAUGUCACAGCAUUGCCAGUGAUGUCACAAUCGGCUAAGAAUGACUCUGUGCUUUGAGAAAUAUGGAUUCCCUAUCAUGUCUUUUGUUCUUUCUCUAGAUUGGUUUACUUUUAUUUUAAGUGCAUUCCUGUUUGGCCCGUGGAUGCGUGCAGGCGCCCCUUACUGCAAUUCUCAAGGGGGACGCCCUUACAGAGAGGCAGGCUCCAGACUCCUGAGUAUUAAGUCCUUAACUGAGAAGUCUGCUUCUGUGCUCAUCUAGAAUCUGCUUGAUCCCCAGCAUCCACACUAGGCCACUUACAAUGACUUGUGACUCCAGCUCUGAAUGAUCUAACACCCUCAUCUGGCCCCACUCACAGGAACAAAGGUAUGCUCGCAUAUGUGCACAUAACACAAAUCAUAAAGAAAGCCAGUAUCUGUAUAUUUUAGGGGACAAUAUGGUAACUCCAUACAUGCAUUCAGUAUGUAGUUACCACUGUGGGGCAAUGAUACCUCCUCCUUCUCAAGAGGUUGUGAGUUUUACGUGGGGAAUUUUCAUACUGUUUAAAUUACCCGGAGAUUUACCACAGAUUGUUGUAGCUGACAACUCACUCACUGUGCUAUAAAAUACUAAAGUGAAUUCCAAAUUCUGUACAUCUUUCUGUUCCUUAUAACAACGGCAC